AUCCAACUGAUGAGUCCCAAAUAGGACGAAACGCGCGCUGUACUGGAU
rnacentral:hammerhead_ribozyme from 1 species